CAAUAGCGUAUAUUAAAGUUGUUGCAGUUAAAAAGCUCGUAGUUGGAUUUGUGGUGUGUCCAGUCGGCCUUUGCUCUCUGAGUGAUUGUGCUGUACUGGUCUGCCAUGUUUGGGUGGAAUCUGUGUGGCAUUAAGUUGUCGUACAGGGGAUGCCCAUCGUUUACUGUGAAAAAAUUAGAGUGUUCAAAGCAGGCUUAUGCCGUUGAAUAUAUUAGCAUGGAAUAAUGAUAUAGGACCUUGGUACUAUUUUGUUGGUUUGCGCACUAAGGUAAUGAUUAAGAGGGACAGUUGGGGGUAUUUGUAUUCCAUUGUCAGAGGUGAAAUUCUUAGAUUUUUGGAAGACAAACUACUGCGAAAGCAUUUACCAAGGAUGUUUUCAUUAA
rnacentral:rRNA from 1 species